UUUGGUGCGGCCAACCGACAUGGGGCUGUCUCUUACUCUCCCUCCCGUCAUUUGAUUUGUCGGGGCUGGAAUGCUCGUAAUCGGUUGCCUGUGCGGCUUUUCCCUGGUGGGGGUAGCGAAGUUGUCCCUCGAUUGAUAUUUGCUUGCCUCUCUGACAUUUUUUUGUCGUUUUGGCAGCCGAAAUGAUGGCGAAAUCCCUGUGCAGGUGCGUGGUCGAAUGUCCCCGUAGCUGUAACUUGAAAUUUUGCUGGCUCUCACGGACGCAGUGCCCAGUGCUGGCUUUGCGUGGCUUUGCCCCGCAGACUUCGGGAGGUCCCUUGUACGAAUCACUGCGAUCAGAUGCCGUUUGUCGUGUUGCUUGUUUGGCACGCAAAUCGUAUUGUUCUGUCCGGAGUCGGGAUGACGAAAGUCAGAACGAAGUGUCUGGGGCGUGCUCGCGUACAC
rnacentral:misc_RNA from 1 species